UGAACGGCCAUAGUGGCGUGGUUUACCUGUACCCAUUCCGAACACAGCAGUCAAGCAUGCCAACGUUCUCGGUAGUACUGCACUGAUGUGCGGGAAGCCGGGAAAGCUGUUCACC
rnacentral:rRNA from 1 species